ACUAAAUUUGAUUUGGUUUGAUAAUAGCCAUUUGAGCCAAUUCAUAAACUAUUCUAUUUCUACUUCUUUUAAUAUCUGAAAAUAAAACUGAUCUUAAGGAAGAAAUUAGAUGAAAGCCGUCUAAAGGAGUCAAAAUAGUUGCUAUGUAUCUGUUUUGUCUUUAGGUAGUGUAAUUAUGUUGAGGAAGCAACAUUUUUAGAGGCCCAUUAAGCAAGCCUUUGCCUCACCUUCGUAAGGUUGGAGAGGAUAAGCUUCAGCGUCAAUGCAUGCAGCAUCGACAUUUAUUUUUAGGAGAUUGGUAGGUUUACCGAAUCCACUACUUCCAUGGGCGUCUUCGUUCUACCUUCAAAGAGCAACUCAUUUAUAACUAUCCAUUUGGAGGCUUGUACAAAAUAGCCCUUGCAUUCAUUUAAGAUCAUCUCAAUCCGUGUUGCUGCAUUUGAUUCUGGAUUUUCAGAAGUUCUAAUGGACAGGGGGCUAUGAAACUAUUGUGGGGAGCAAGUUGUUUAUUAUUCUCCAUGUGCAUGUGCAGUUUAUUGAUCUCGGAUGCGCUUUUGCCUUUUAGAGCCUUUUCCAAUUCGGUUCAUCCACUGUUGGAGUGGUGCUGCUUCUAUAUUGGGAUUUCUUCAAAUUCAUAAAUCUGUGAUAAGCAUAUCUGACCUUAAAUUCUCCAUUUCUUGUGAAUUUCCAAUAAUAUUGAUUUGGCUGGUUAGUUAUAUAGGUAGAGGAAUUUCUAUGAUUUGUGUGGCUUCAAAUUCCAUGAAGUUCUCCUUUACUAUUCUUACAUCUCAUCUCAUUUCUAUGAUUUUUUUUAAGAUUGAUUAUAGGACUCCAGAGUCUCUGUCUGUUCUGGUUUGGGAGCCAGGGUGACCCUCAAAUUUUCACUGACCUACCAUCCCCUAUUUUCUAAAGUUCUUGCUCCCAUGUGUAGGAUUUCUCUGGCUUUGAGAAUGCUUCUCCAUAUAUGGCUCCGACUGUAGCCAACAGACGCUUCUAAAAAAUUUUUCCUAGAAAAAUAUCUCACCUUGAUGAUCCUUGUUGCUAAAGAGUUAGGUCUUUUCAUGAGUUGUCACCCUUGUUUCGCCAAGAGAGAGAAAAUGAAAGCUUUAAAAUCUCUAAACCCAAGCCCUCCUUCCGAUUUACUAGUCCAUAUCUUGUUUCAAUUUACUCAAUGCAUCUUUUUUUUUUUUUCAUUUUUGUUUUUUCAAUAAAAAUUCCUUAUCAUAGAGUCUCUGUGAUUAUAGAGGCUGAUGGAAAUUUGAAAGCAACCCAUGAUGUAAGUUGGGAUUGGUUGGGAUACCGUUUUGAUUAGUGUCUCCUUUUCCACUCUAAAUAACUCUUCUCCUCGCACCCUUUCAGCUUCUUCCAUACUCUCUCCUGUAUGAACUCAAAGACCUUAUUCUUGAAUCUCCCUACCAAGAUGAGGAGUCCCAAGUAUUUAGAGUAUUGCCUUUAUCCCCAUCUAAUCUUAGAUCAGAAUUUGUCUGGUAGUUGGCACAUUUUGGCUAGAAGAGAUUUCUGACUUCUUUAAGUUGAUUCUCUGGCCUAAAACAUUCUGGUAUAGAACAAGUGAUUCCUUGAUUUUCAAAAUGUCUUGGUCGGUACUCUAGAAAAUAGUAUGGUCUCGUCCACAAAGAAGAGGUGGUUGAUCUGUGGAGCUUGCUUUACGAUCUUGAUGCCUCUAAUCAGCUUGCUAUUUUGGACCGCGAUAAGGAGUCCUGAUAUAACUUCAGCACACAGGACAAACCAAUAGGGAGAUAGAGGGUCUCCUUGUCUUGAGUCCUCUAGCAGGUUUGAAAUUUCUACUAGGGAUCCCAUUUAGGAGGACCGAGGAGAAGUUGUUUUGGUAGAGAUACAUUUUCAAAUGAGGUUUACCCAUUUUUCAGAGAAACCCAUAGAAAUUAGGACCUCUUUUAGGAAGUCCUAUUAUAUUCUAUCAUAAGCUUUUGCCAUAUCCAGCUUUAUGCGCACAUAUUCUUUUUUAUUUGUCUUAGGCUUCAUUGUUUGACUUUUUCUUUCUUUCCCUUUUGAUGCCAAUAUUUAGAGAUCUCGUUUUCAUUUUAGCUUAAACCAAUUCUGAGCAUUUUUUCUUUGGCUUGUAAUGUGCUUGUUAGUCUUGAUUAGAGAUCAGCAAUUGAUGGCCCAAAAGCAUGGUGAAUCUUAUUUUUGUUCAUCCUUCCUAUGGACUGAAGCCUUCAUGUAGAAUAGUUAUGUGUGCUUCUUGUUUGGGUCUGGUUCACUAAUUAAAUUUGGAAUUAGGUUCCUGAAGAUUUUGACUUCAGACUAGUUAGUCCUUAAAGAAAAAAAAGUACCAAUUUGAUCUUACAGGAUAGCAAACGGUAAACACAUGAUGUCUUUCUAUCAAUUCAUCAACUAAAAUUUAACGGUGAUGCUUAUAUGUACUGUUAAUUACUCUGAGGUGUCUAUCUAUGAAAGAUAGUCAUGUAUAUAACAACUUUUGUAGCGAAAUUUCACUUAUUUUGAUAAAAUUUGUGAUAAAUAAUUAAAUAGAGAUCAAUUGAUAAAGGGUAUAUGAAAACUCAAGCUAAUAAAUGCUUCACUGUCUAAAAUUGCAUCGUUUUUCUGCUCAUAUGACAGUAAUGAGACAUGUACCACUGUAAAUAAUGAAAUACAUGGAUAAUUAUAUUUCGUUUCGCACUAUUCAUUGAUAAAAGGACAUACAUAUCCACCGUUUACUAUCUUGGAGGACCUAAUUAAUACUUUUUUUUCUUUAAAGACUAAUUAGUCUAAGGUCAACAUCUUUGAGGAUCUGAUUAUCACUUUAUUCUUAAAUUUGUUAGCACACAUUUUGGCUUUCAACCCAAUAAUAAAUGUUUGUCAUCAUAUAUCACUAUAUCAAAAUCAAUUCUAACUCAACAGAAGCAUUAUUGGGAUCUACUGUUUCGUUGUUUUUUUUCCUAACAUGAUAAUAUUUUGUGUUUAUGUCAGAUUUUGGUCAAUAUUGGGACUACAUUCAGGCGACUAUGACUCAAUGUUACAGACAGAUGUGAGCACGAUGGAAUGGACUUGGCACUACACUCCUUCAAACCCUAGAGGAGCUCUUGGAUUCGAGGAGAGAGGACUUCCAAUUUAAAUAUAAAAGUUGUUUGCGAUAAAGUUAUAGUUAUUUUAAUUUUCUUAAGCUAUAAUGCUAUAACAGUCAAGACACUCGAGUUUUUCUUGA